rnacentral:rRNA from 1 species
UACAGAGGUCUCAAGCGUUGUUCGGAUUCAUUGGGCGUAAAGGGUGUGUAGGUGGCCUGGUAAGUAGGGGGUGAAAUCUCGCGGCUCAACUGCGAGGCUGCCUCCUAAACUGUCAGGCUCGAGCAGAGUAGAGGCAGGUGGAAUUCCCGGUGUAGCGGUGGAAUGCGUAGAGAUCGGGAAGAACAUCGGUGGCGAAGGCGGCCUGCUGGGCUCUUGCUGACACUGAGGCGCGACAGCGUGGGGAGCAAACAGG